rnacentral:rRNA from 1 species
GAUCCUGGCUCAGGACGGACGCUGGCGGCGUGCUUAACACAUGCAAGUCGAACGAAGAGCGAUGGAAGCUUACUUCUAUCAAUCUUAGUGGCGAACGGGUGAGUAACGCGUAAUCAACCUGCCCUUCAGAGGGGGACAACAGUUGGAAACGACUGCUAAUACCGCAUACGAUCUGACCUCGGCAUCGAGGAUAGAUGAAAGGUGGCCUCUAUUUAUAAGCUAUCACUGAAGGAGGGG